rnacentral:rRNA from 1 species
UAGAGUUUGAAUCCUGGCUCAGGACGAACGCNGGCGGCGUGCUUAACACAUGCAAGUCGAACGAUGAACCGCUUUCGGGCGGGGAUUAGUGGCGAACGGGUGAGUAACACGUGGGCAAUCUGCCCUGCACUCUGGGACAAGCCCUGGAAACGGGGUCUAAUACCGGAUAUGACCGUCUGCCGCAUGGUGGAUGGUGUAAAGCUCCGGCGGUGCAGGAUGAGCCCGCGGCCUAUCAGCUUGUUGGUGAGGUAGUGGCUCACCAAGGCGACGACGGGUAGCCGGCCUGAGAGGGCGACCGGCCACACUGGGACUGAGACACGGCCCAGACUCCUACGGGAGGCAGCAGUGGGGAAUAUUGCACAAUGGGCGAAAGCCUGAUGCAGCGACGCCGCGUGAGGGAUGACGGCCUUCGGGUUGUAAACCUCUUUCAGCAGGAAGAAGCGAAAG